CGGUAAUUCCAGCUCCAAUAGCGUAUACUAAAGUUGUUGCAGUUAAAAAGCUCGUAGUUGGAUUUCUGCGGGGACGGAGCGGCCGGACGCAACUUGCGUCUCGAGCUAGCGCUUUCCCCACAUCCUGCCGCGAACCGUGCUACCAUUAGUUUGGUGGCGCUGGGGAUCGGCUCGAUUACUUUGAGAAAAAUAGAGUGUUCAAAGCAGGCCACACGCCUUGAAUAAGUUAGCAUGGAAUAAUGACUAAGGACUUUGGUUCUUUUCGUUGGUGUUCGGGACUGAAGUAAUGAUUGAUAGGGACAGUUGGGGCGGUCCGUAUUCCAAAGCGAGAGGUGAAAUUCUUAGACCUUCGGAAGACGAACAGCUGCGAAAGCGUUCCGCAAGGAUGUUCCCUUUGAUCAAGAACGAAAGUUGGGGGAUCGAAGACGAUCAGAUACCGUCGUAGUCUCAACUAUAAACUAUACCAGCUAGGGAUCGGCCAACGUUUAAUUAUUCGACUUGGUCGGCACCUUAUGAGAAAUCAAAGCAUCUGGGUUCCGGGGGGAGUAUGGUCGCAAGGCUGAAACUUAAAGGAAUUGACGGAAGGGCACCACCAGGCGUGGAGCCUGUGGCUUAAUUUGACUCAACACGGGAAAACUUACCAGGUCCAGACAUAGGAAGGAUUGACAGAUUGAUAGCUCUUUCUUGAUUCUGUGGGUGGUGGUGCAUGGCCGUUUUUAGUCGGUGAAGUGAUUUGCCUGCUUAAUUGCGUUAACGGACGAGACCCCAGCCUGCUAAAUAGCGCGGCCGAGCUUUGCUCGGUGCGAGCUCCUUAGAGGGACUAUGAUGCGCGAUGGCACAAGGAAGUUUGGGGCAACAACAGGUCUGUGAUGCCCUUAGAUGUUCUGGUCCGCACACGGGCUACACUGGCGCCUGCAACGAGCAUAUCAGCUGGCCCGAGAGGGUCUUGGCUAAUCUUUGGAACCGGCGCCGUGCUUGGGAUUGACCAUUGCAAUUGUUGGUCAUGCAACGAGGAAUGCCUUGUAAACGCGAGUCAUCAGCUCGCAUUGAAUACGUCCCUGCCCUUUGUACACACCGCCCGUCGCUCCUACCGAUGAAUGUUCCGAUGAAAUUUUCGGAGAGCGCCGGAGAACGGGGCUCUGCCCUGCAGAACUGGGGGCUCAAAGUCACUUAAAUCUGAACAUUUCGAGGAAGGAGAAGUCGUAACAAGGUAACC
rnacentral:rRNA from 1 species